UUGAACGCUGGCGGCAUGCCUUACACAUGCAAGUCGAACGGUAACAGGGGGCUUGCUCCGCUGACGAGUGGCGAACGGGUGAGUAAUGUAUCGGAACGUACCAUUCAGUGGGGGAUAACGUAGCGAAAGUUACGCUAAUACCGCAUAUUCUGUGAGCAGGAAAGCAGGGGAUCGCAAGACCUUGCGCUGAUUGAGCGGCCGAUAUCAGAUUAGCUAGUUGGUGAGGUAAAGGCUCACCAAGGCGACGAUCCGUAGCGGGUCUGAGAGGACGACCCGCCACACUGGAACUGAGACACGGUCCAGACUCCUACGGGAGGCAGCAGUGGGGAAUUUUGGACAAUGGGGGAAACCCUGAUCCAGCCAUUCCGCGUGAGUGAAGAAGGCCUUCGGGUUGUAAAGCUCUUUCAGCAGGAACGAAACGGUCGGCUUUAAUAAAGUCGGCUAAUGACGGUACCUGCAGAAGAAGCACCGGCUAACUACGU
rnacentral:rRNA from 1 species